rnacentral:misc_RNA from 1 species
UCCCGGUUGGCCCGGGCGGUCUCGUAUGAAAUGAGUAACAUACGACAAGGGUUGCGCUCGUUGCGGGACUUAACCCAACAUCUCACGACACGAGCUGACGACGGCCAUGCAGCAUCUGUCACCGCGUUCCCUUGCGGGCACGGUCUCCUUUCGGAGACUUUCGCGGGAUGUCAAGCCUCGGUAAGGUUCUUCGCUUAGCGUCGGAUUAAACCACAUGAUCCUCUGCUUGUGCGGGUCCCCGUCAAUUCCUUUGAGUUUUAAGCUUGCGCUCGUACUCCCCAGGCGGGACACUUAACGCGUUAGCUUGGUAACGCAGAGGGUCGAAUCUCCACAUUACGAGUGUCCAUCGUUUACGGCGUGGACUAC